rnacentral:lncRNA from 1 species
GAGAGACCGAAUAAGGAGUGGAGUGUGUUUCUUGCAAGAACUAAAGGGAGAAAGUUGGCUCGAUUUUCUUGCAGUCUGUGUUUCAUACACACAAACUACAUAGAGUUGUAAUGAAUCGAAGGACAGUCUCAGAUAGUGUUAUGUCGGCCCUUAUAUAUUCGUUCCAGUCCGGUUUUAGGACCGCCAGUCCUUGGACCUGGUCCAAAAGACCAAACUCUACCUCUUUGCAAUUUUCCAUACAAAUAUCCAUGGUUUAUUAAAACAAAUAAGAUAUAUAAAAUAUGUAUUAAAAUCAUUUCACAUAUCUUGCAAAAAAUAUUAUUAAGGAACAACGUGCUCAUUGACGUCCUGAGGGAUCGAUUUUACCUUCUCUAAGGACCGACAAAUGGGACCCUGCUUCUCUGCGGUACUGAACAAUGACCGACACAACACUAGUCUCAGAUGAUCCGUCUUUUUCUUCUCGUUGUUGGUCCGGAUGAGAGAUGUUAAUCAAAUAAAGAAUACAGAAGGUCCCUGCAGAAUGCAGUUUCCAACACUGCGUAUUUUGGAUAGCACGUAUAUUCCAAUGAGUUUGCGUUAUUUUAUAUAAGAUAAUAUAUUAUAUAUUCUUAUGAGGGUGGUCUGAAAACUUUCCAAUCUUAACGUGAAGAUAGCAGCACUCGUAAAUAAAAGCGUGUCACUUCUCCUUUGUAUCUGUUGACACUUACUCACCAUAGUUUGAACCUUUUGGAUGCGCUGUUGUUAUGUAACAGUCGCUUGAGUGAAUUGAUGUGAUGUACAAUUCUGAAUUUUUUAUUUCAUUUUUGAACUUAGUGUCCUUGUAGCUCUACACAUUUUGCCCAGCUAAGUUACAGUGUUGCAGAGAUGGGAGCAUCGCUGGGAGAAGUGUGAAGAGUAACAGGGAUGACAAAUUAAAAAAAUGAGUAUUUUUUCCCCCACGUAAACACAUCAACUCACUCAAACGACUAUUACAUAACAACUCUGCGUCAAAAAUGGUUGACACUUUGGUGUGUAACUGUCAACAGAUGUUAAAUAGAUUUUACCAUCUUGUAUGUACGAGUGCUGCUAUCUUCAUGUCGAGCUCGAAAACUUUUCGGACCAACCUCGUAUAUAUUUUCUGGUUAACAAGAAUUUUUAUAGUGGUUUUCCAUUUUAUGCCAAUAUAUUUAAUAUAAGUUUAGAAUUUUGAAUGAGGGGAAAGGAAUGGUCUUGUAAGUACUAGAUUUGAUACCAAGGCUUAAAACUUAUUUUUUAUUCUCACCCUGGAGCAGCAUAUGUGACGACACAGUCGCCUCAAGGUCACGGAAACUCCAGUUUAAUGCAGCAACCUGUGCGUAUAGAAUAUAACCCAGAAGUUGACGUAUAUUUCAUAUGAAAAUGCAAUCAUCACAUUGUUACAAAAAAAGGGAAUGCUUAUACAUAAAACCACUUCCAAACCAAGGAAUAAACUAAAAAUAAAUUCAGCAUAAAUAUAAACACACCUUCAUGAAAAUCAUUUCUUAAAGUAAAAGUAAACACACAUAUUGUCAUUUCACGACAGUUCGCAAUUACAUACUGUCAAAAUCAAAAACUUAUAUCAAAACAUCGCCAAAACAACCAGUGGCAAUAAUUAUGUCAAUAAAAAAUAAAAUGUAUUUCUUAUUCUUUUGUAGAUCUCGACUAAAACCCCAUAUAUUUCUCCUCACGCUUUCUAGGGUAUCACAUCUCGUUAUUAGAUCUAUAGAAGAUUCUGGUACUUCCUCACACAACCUUCAUGAGUUAUCCUCCGGCAAACCCAUCUUCUUUAGAUGUUUUUGUAUGGAAAUAUGACCACCCCUUACUUAUUACUUAUACAAACUUACAAUUAAAAAUGUUGCUGAAUAAAUAUUCGUUUCUGCACAAAAUAAGUCCCCACACAAUCCAAGAUUAAGGGAAACACAAGGUUAUACCAAUACGCUUCUCCAACUGGUGCUUGACUUCCAACACGUUUUUUGUAGUGACGUCAUAGACUAUAAUUGUUACUAAGAGUAGCUAUACAUAUAUCGUUUUCCUUUCUCCUGACUAGAUUUAGUCAUGAAAUUCUAAAUCAUACAUGCGGCUUAGCUUCUAUUGCUUUAUCUCCCCUCCUGAAGGAAUGUAUGUUAUUUGAGAACUUUGUUGAAAUACAUUCAGUUUAAGUUAGCAAUUGUACAUGGCGUGUUCAUAAUUGGUGACCCCGGCGUGAUCAGAAUCUACAUCUGAAAUUAUAUACUUUUAUUUAAUGCAUAUUUCGUUUUAGCUUAUUAAUUUAUUCGCAUGUAACUCAUUUAAUUUUAAUUAUUUUACAGAGAAAUUAAUGGGUCGUAAAUAUAGCAGACUCUUGGGGAAAUUCUAUAGGACUUUUUAUUUGAGAACUUUAUUGAAAUAUAUUCCGUUUAAGUUAGUAAUUCUACGUGGUUUGUUCCUUCAUAUACAUAAAAUAAACCUUUUCAUAUAAGAAAUUA